rnacentral:rRNA from 1 species
AGAGUUUGAUCCUGGCUCAGGAUGAACGCUAGCUACAGGCUUAACACAUGCAAGUCGAGGGGCAGCGGGAUUGAAGCUUGCUUCAAUUGCCGGCGACCGGCGCACGGGUGAGUAACGCGUAUCCAACCUUCCAUACACUCAGGGAUAGCCUUUCGAAAGAAAGAUUAAUACCUGAUGGUAUGAUGAGAUUGCAUGAUAGCAUCAUUAAAGAUUUAUCGGUGUACGAUGGGGAUGCGUUCCAUUAGGUAGUAGGCGGGGUAACGGCCCACCUAGCCAACGAUGGAUAGGGGUUCUGGGAGGAAGGUCCCCCACAUUGGAACUGAGACACGGUCCAAACUCCUACGGGAGGCAGCAGUGAGGAAUAUUGGUCAAUGGACGAGAGUCUGAACCAGCCAAGUAGCGUGAAGGAUGAAGGUCCUACGGAUUGUAAACUUCUUUUAUAAGGGAAUAAACCCUCCCACGUGUGGGAGCUUGUAUGUACCUUAUGAAUAAGCAUCGGCUAACUCCGUGCCAGCAGCCGCGGUAAUACGGAGGAUGCGAGCGUUAUCCGGAUUUAUUGGGUUUAAAGGGAGCGCAGACGGGUCGUUAAGUCAGCUGUGAAAGUUUGGGGCUCAACCUUAAAAUUGCAGUUGAUACUGGCGUCCUUGAGUGCGGUUGAGGUGUGCGGAAUUCGUGGUGUAGCGGUGAAAUGCUUAGAUAUCACGAAGAACUCCGAUUGCGAAGGCAGCACACUAAUCCGUAACUGGCGUUCAUGCUCGAAAGUGUGGGUAUCAAACAGGAUUAGAUACCCUGGUAGUCCACACGGUAAACGAUGGAUACUCGCUGUUGGCGAUAUACUGUCAGCGGCUUAGCGAAAGCGUUAAGUAUCCCACCUGGGGAGUACGCCGGCAACGGUGAAACUCAAAGGAAUUGACG